rnacentral:rRNA from 1 species
UACGUAGGGGGCGAGCGUUGUCCGGAAUUACUGGGUGUAAAGGGAGCGUAGACGGCAGGGCAAGUCUGGAGUGAAAGGCAGGGGCCCAACCCCUGGACUGCUCUGGAAACUGUCCGGCUGGAGUGCAGGGGAGGUAAGUGGAAUUCCUAGUGUAGCGGUGAAAUGCGUAGAUAUUAGGAGGAACACCAGUGGCGAAGGCGGCUUACUGGACUGUAACUGACGUUGAGGCUCGAAAGCGUGGGGAGCAAACAGG